GGAGUUAGCCGGUGCUUCUUCUGUGAGUGAUGUCCUUCCUGCCGGUUAUUGACCCGCAGGCCUUCUUCCUCACUGAAAGUGCUUUACAACCCGAAGGCCUUCUUCACACACGCGGCAUGGCUGGAUCAGGGUUGCCCCCAUUGUCCAAUAUUCCCCACUGCUGCCUCCCGUAGGAGUCUGGGCCGUGUCUCAGUCCCAGUGUGGCUGAUCAUCCUCUCAGACCAGCUACGGAUCGUCGCCUUGGUGAGCCGUUACCUCACCAACCAGCUAAUCCGACAUAGGCUCAUCCGAUAGCGCGAGGCCCGAAGGUCCCCCGCUUUCCCCCGUAGGGCGUAUGCGGUAUUAGCCUGGGUUUCCCCAGGUUAUCCCCCACUACCGGGCAGAUUCCUAUGCAUUACUCACCCGUCCGCCGCUCGCCACCAGGGAGCAAGCUCCCCGUGCUGCCGCUCGACUUGCAUGUGUUAGGCCUGCCGCCAGCGUUCAAUCUGAGCCAUAGACUAACUAACCUUCGUACGUACGUAGGACGGGCGGGUCGGUCGGACGGAACGGGCCGACUAAG
rnacentral:rRNA from 1 species